AAUCACUGAGACUAAUAAAUAGGUGCACUCCUAGAUUUGGAGAGGACACCAGAAUUGCACAGCGGCCUGUUUGUUUUCUCCGUCUCCUGCUUGAGAUCCCAACCAAGCUUAAGACAUGCAGUCUGGCAGCAUCUUCAUUGCUGUAUUUUUAUUAAUGAUCUUGGCUUCCCCAGGGGAUGCGUACAUCGGGAUAGAUGCGACAAAUUCUGAAAUGUGCAAUAGCAUGAAGGGCACCUGUACAACGAAUCCUCAGUGCAAUCGUCAAUUUCUAGGAAAAUGUGCGGAAGGAAUCUGGUGUUGCUUACAAUGACUUGGAAAAGGAAGGAAAGAGACAUAUUUCAGUUCAGCAACAACAGUAGCUUCAACACCAAGAAUGUGGAUUUUCUGUCACUUGGGAAUCAUAUAAUGAGAUGGAGAUCUUAUUUCACAGAUAUUUUAUGAAAAACAAGGAAAACUGGAACACUGUCUCAAUAAAUAAUGGAAUAAUUA